rnacentral:lncRNA from 1 species
AGUCGACAGGAUCGCCUGACGCGGGCACAGCGUCCUCCAAGAGGCCACCUUGCUGAGAGGCAGACUUCCCAUCCACAAAAUGGGAACCAUCUCUUCGAAGUGGAAUAUGGAGACAAUGGCGACAGCAAAGCCAAGCAGCAUCACACUGGCCACCACCACAUCAUGCCUGGAGGAGCCAAAGCCACUGUCUCAACUAGCGGGCUGGGCUGCCACUCAUUGCUGCUCUGCCUGCUAGGCACCCUGAUUUUUUUUUUUUAAUUUUAAAUACAUUUACUUAAAUAAAUUCAAUUAAGUACAUUUAAGUUAAAAAAAAGAAAUUUAAAUAAAAAUAUGAAGUUAAUCAAA